ncrna:unclassified sequences RAGATH-18 RNA
CUUGUGGAGAGUUAUACAAACGAAAGUAGUUAAGACGAAAUCGAACUCGUUUGAAACAAGAA